rnacentral:rRNA from 1 species
UACGUAGGGGGCAAGCGUUGUCCGGAAUCACUGGGCGUAAAGAGCGCGUAGGCGGCCAGAAAAGUCCGCUGUGAAAACUCGAGGCUCAACUUCGAGCUGUCGGUGGAAACUUUCUGGCUAGAGUCCGGAAGAGGAGAAUGGAAUUCCUGGUGUAGCGGUGAAAUGCGCAGAUAUCAGGAAGAACACCCGUGGCGAAGGCGGUUCUCUGGGACGGUACUGACGCUGAGACGCGAAAGCGUGGGUAGCAAACAGG